rnacentral:rRNA from 1 species
UUGUUUGAAAGAAAAAAGCCCAAAUUUGUAAUCUGGCUCUUUUAUAGGAGUCCGAGUUGUAAUUUUGAGAACUGUUUUCUGUGCUGGACCAUAUACAAGUCUGUUGGAAAACAGCAUCAUUGAGGGUGAUAAUCCCGUAGAUGAUAUGGACUACCAGUGCAAUAUGAUACAGUCUCUAAGAGUCGAGUUGUUUGGGAAUGCAGCUCAAAGAGGGUGGUAAAUUCCAUCUAAGGCUAAAUAUAGGUGAGAGACCGAUAGCAAACAAGUACCGUGAGGGAAAGAUGAAAAGAACUUUGGAAAGAGAGUUAACAGUACGUGAAAUUGUUAAAAGGGAAACAUUUGAAGUUAGACUUGUUAUUAUUGGUUCAGCUUCUCUUUUUUAAUUAGGAGUUUAUUCCAAUGGUUGACAGACCAGCAUCAAUUUUUGAGUGUUAGAUAAGGGUCUUGGAGAAUGUGGCAACUUUGGUUGUGUUAUAGCUCCUGGCUUGAUAUAAUGCUUAAGAUUGAGGAAC